AAGAAAUUAGUUUAAAAUCUAAAACAAUAGCUUGUCAAGCUAAAAAUACCUGAAUAGGUAUUACUUA
rnacentral:tRNA from 1 species